GAAGAAGAAGAAGAAGAAGAAGCAACAACAACAAGCAACAAGCAACAAGCAACAAGCAACAAGCAACAAGCAAGAACCGUGAUCAGACUCAUUGGGGGCGUGUCUUGUCACGACAGACGAAUCAGGGGUUGUUUUGCUUGUUCCUAGCUCGAUAACUUUGUCAAGUUAGCUAACAGCAGCUCAAGGCUGUGGACAGCAUGUCCAUUCAACACACAGGGAACACUCAUGAAACCCCAUCAAAUUCACAACGCAGAUAUAUAUCCUUUAUAGCUAAGCUAUAAACUAGAGGUGGUCAGGAUGGUGGAGCGGCCUGUUGUUACCCCCUCAGCUGUGAUCACUCCAGUGCAGCAGAUGCUGGCCUCUGGCACUGGGGCGCUGCUCACAUCAGUGUUCGUCACACCCCUG